AUUUAUGACAAAACACUAUUUAUUACACAAAACAAAAAAUUUAAUAAUGCACACAAUAAUACGCAUAAUAAAAACAAGUAUACAAGUUAAAAAAAUAAAAUAGAUACAUAUAACAUAACCAACUAUUACCACAAAGUAUUACCCGUAAUAUCAACUACUCAAUCAUGAAAAUACGUAUCUUAAUAAAAUUUAUUAAACAUGUAACUUGAAAUUAUUAAACUUUUUUAAUAAUAAUAAUAAUAAUAAUAAUAAUAAUAAUAAUAAUNNNNNNNNNNUAAUAAUAAUAAUAAUAAUAAUAAUAAUAAUAAUAAUAAUGUUUUAAAAAAUGGUUCCCAAACUCACUUAAUACAUAAUUUAGACAUUUAUUUUAAAACUUAAAACAUUAAUUACGUUUUUUUGUGAGUUCCUUUUUAAAUGAAGCCAUUUACACACACUGUCCAAAAUAGUUUGAAUAAUUAGACACAAGACUAACAAUAUGACUUGUUUUGUUUUAAAUAUCUAUAAGAAAGGAAUAUAUUCAUGUUUUAUAUUUGGUUAAAACUAUUAAAAUUGCAUAAAUUAUGUACUUAUUAAUUUACAAUAACUUUAAAAUAUAUCAAUUGAAAUUAUAAAAAUGUUAAAAAAAUCGUAAUUAAUAAGCAAUAUUUUUGAAUAAAUAAAUUUAUAUUAGUGCUUGCAAAUUAGUAUGCAUAUUAAAAAAUAGUAACAUGAAUAUAUUUAAAAUAGUUAUAAUAAAUAUAGUAACAAAUGAAUCAUGGAAGUUUCUUUAAUUUUAGACAGUAAAAUAUAAUUUUUUUUUAAACAGUAAAAAUUACACUUGAAUUGGUCCUAAAUUAUAAGUUUUUUUUUUCUUUUUUUUUUUGAAUUUUUAAUGCUUUUUUUUUGUUUUUUUAUAUAUUUAAUAAAUGAAAGACAUAAAACAAAAUGUUUACUUUUCUUUCUUUUUGUAAUAUAAAUAAGCACAUUUUAACAUGUUUUUCUUGUUAAGAUGUUAUUUAUUAAAAUUUUUGUUUUUAUCAUUUUAAUACAGUUAUGCCAAUUUCACUGCGAGGAAGCAUAUCAUGAGAAACAAACAUCUAGUGUCAAAUUUCACGAAAACAUAACUGAAAUUGAUAAAGUAUUUGAAAAUAUUGACAAAUUAAAUCAAGUGUUAGUACAAAGUGAAAGUGAUGAAUUACUAGAUCCAAAAGAGUUAUUAAAUGAAAUGAUUUUAACAUAUAAAACAUCAUUAUUAACAGUUCAGCCAUUAAUUACAUCAUUGCAAUUAGAACAGAUUUCGAGGAUAAUAAGAAAUAUAACCCGUAAUUUAAAAAUUGCUAUCAAGAGUUUAAAAAAAAAAAUGCUCUAUUUGUUCAUUGAAAAAAAUGAUGAAAAUAAAAAUGCAUUGAAUAUAACAAAAGAUGAUUUUUUAUUGUCUUUGAAGGUGUACACCAAACAUAUUUUAAAACUUAUACCCAAUUAUUUUAAAUAUAUUCAUUUAUAUGCAUUAGUUAUAUUUCUACAGUUAGUUAUUGACCCUAUAAUUACGGAAAUGGUCAUUAAUUAUACGUUUCCGUUGUCUACUGCAAAAUUUUUGCUUAUGUAUAUGCGUCUCAAGCGAAAAAUAAAAAAAAACAUAAAUACAUAUGUUUAUAUUAGUAUUACAUAAUAUGUUUGGUAUAACAUACAAAUUUAAUUAUAAUUGUGAUUUAUAUGAACGAAAAAAUUUAAAACAAAAAAGUUUGCUUGAGUAGCAUAAAACACAUGUUGCAACUUUGCAAUAUAUGUACAUUAAUCUUUUUUAUAUUUGCUAUAUAAGUAUGUUUACAGUUUCUGAAUAAAUGUAAUUAAAUAUAUUUUUGUUCA
rnacentral:lncRNA from 1 species